GUUUUGAUAUCUUCACUAUUAUUCUACAAUGUAGAAAAUAAUAAAAAUAAAGAAAAACCCUUGAAUGAGUUGGUGUUUUAUAACUUUUGACCGGUAGUGUACACUGACACGGUGACUGAGUUUGCCAGGAAGUGCAUUGGCGAUGUUGUUCCCGCUGUGACCAUUAAUAUCUACCCAACCCAGAAACAGUGGAUAGACGGCAACAUUUGUGGAAAACUGAAAGCGCGAACCACCCCACCCCAUGGCAAGGUGACUGGGAAUAUGGUUGAAUGCAAACAGUGUAGUUAUUCCUUCUGUAAAGCAAUUAAACAGGCAAAACGUCAGUUCAGAGACAAAGUGGAGUCGCAAUUCAAUGACUCAGACACGAGACAUAUGUGGGAAGGGUCUACAGACAAUCACGGAUUACAAAGGUAAAACCAGCCACGUCACAGACACCGACGUCUUGCUCCUGGACAAGCUAAACACCUUCUUCGCCAGCUUUGAGGAUAGCACAGUGCCACCGCCCGCUCCCAAGGACUGUGGGCUCUUGUUCUCCGUGGCCAACGUGAGUAAGACAUUCAAGUGUGUUAACCCUCACAAGGCUGCCUCCUCAGAGCAUGCGCAGAGCAGCUGGCUGGAGUGUUUACAAACAUAUUCAAUCUCUCCCUAUCCCAGUCGGCUGUUCCCACUUGCUUCAAGAUGUCCACCAUUGUUCCUGUACCCAAGAAAGCAAAGAUCCACAGACGAUGCAUUCGCCAUCACACUGCCCUAUCCCAUCUGGACAAGAGGAAUACCUAUGUAAGAAGGCUGUUCAUUGACAAUAGCUCAUCUUUCAACAACAUAGGACCCUCCAAGCUCAUCAUUAAGCUCGGGGCUCUGGGUCUGAACCCGACCCGGUGCAACUUGGUCCUGGACUUCCUGACGGGCUGUCCGCAGGUGGUGAAGGUAGGAAACAACACCUCCACUUUGCUGAUUCUCAACACAGGGAUCCCACAAGGCUGCAUACUCAGCCAUCUCCUGCACUCCCUGUUGACCCAUGACUUUCAGGCCAUGCACGCCUCCAACUCAAUCAUCAAGUUUGCAGACGACAACAGCAGUAGGCCUGAUUACCAACAACGAGGAGACAGCCCACAGGGAGGAGGUGAGGGCCCUGGCAUGGUGGUGUCAGGUAAAUUACCUCUCCCUCGAUGUCAACAAAACAAAGGAGAUGAUCGUAGACUUCAGAAAACAGCAGAGUGAGCACGCUCCUAUCCACAUCGACGGGACUACAGUGGAGAAGGUGGAAAGAUUCAAGUUCCUCGGCGUACACAUCACUGACAAUCUGAAAUCGUCUACCCAUACAGACAGUGUGGUGAAGAAGGCGCAACAGCGCCUUGGUCCCUAAGAGCCUCACAAACUUUUACAGAUGCACAAAUGAGAGCAUCCUGUCGGGCUGUAUCACUGCCUGGUACGGCAACUCCAAUGCCCGUAACCACAGGGCCCUCCAGAGGGUGGUGGGGUCUGCCAAACGCAUCACUGGGGGCACACUGCCUGCCCACCAGGACAUCUACAGCAGCCGUUGUCACAGGAAGGCAAAAAAGAUUAUCAAGGACAUCAACCACCCAAGCCAUGGCCUGUUCAUCCCCGCUACCAUCCAGAAGGCGAGCUUCUACACAGUGAAAGGAGGGAAGAUCUGCUCUGAUCCCAAAGCACCCUGGGUCAACAAAAGAAAGCAAU